CCCUUACCCUGCGGCCGGCUCUGCACCCUGCCUAUUAUAAUAUUCUGAGCCACAUCCUGUGAGCUGUCUUACAGAUACUGAAACCCUAGGAAGAGAAGUUCACUACAUGAUGAUCAGGCUGAACCCAGGACAUGAGCUGCCACAAUUCUGAGAAUUGACUGCAAAGAAAUGGGAACAGAUGGACCCUGGGCCUAAAGACGAAGCACCUAAAACAACCAAGAUGACGCUGGUCGGACCACUGAGGACCAGUUGAAGAAAAGCAGUAAAACCCUUCAUGGUGGCGACUGCUCCUUGCGACCAGCAAAGGCUCCAUGAGACCUGCAGAAACCUAGCAGAAACCACAUGUUUGAGAGAAUAUGUGCCUGAUCGCUCGUGUCUCCCCUUCACCCAAAUCACAUAUAUAUAUACUGACCCCCUUGCCUGCCUCCCCCCACCCCUCUUUGGAACAGUUCCUCAGACUUAACUGAGGGGCUGGCUCUUGGGCUGCAGUCCUCAUUUUGUCCCAAAUAAAAUUUGACUUGCAACUCUCA
ensembl:lncRNA